GCUUUAUAUUAAUAGUACAGUUUGAAGCUGGGUAAUAUGAUGCCACCAGAUUUGCUCUUUUUUCUUAGUCUUGCUUUGGCUGUGUGGGCUCUUUUUUGUUUCCAUAUGAAUUUUAGGAUUGUUUUUCCUAGUUCCGUGAAGAAUGAUGAUGGUAUUUUGAUAGGAAUUCCAUUGAAUUUGUAGAUUGCUUUUGGCAAUAUGGUCAUUUUUCACAAUAUUGAUUCUACACAUCUGUGGUGUGGGAUGUGUUCUCAUUUGUUUGUGUAAUCUAUGAUUUCUUUCAGCAGUGUUUUGUAGUUUUCCUUGUAGAGGUCUUUUACAUCCUUGGUUAGAUAUAUUCCUAAAUUUUUUUUUUUUUACAGCUAUUGUAAAAGGAGUUAAGUCCUUGAUUUGAUUCUCAGCUUGGUUGCUGUUGGUGUAUAGCAGUGCCACUGAUGUGUGUACGUUGCUUUUGUAUUCUGAAACUUUACUGAAUUCGUUUAUCAGAUCUAGGAGCUUUUCAGAUGAGUCUUUAGGGUUUGCUAGGUAUAUAAUUAUAUCAUCAGCAAACAGCAGCAGUUUGACUUCCUCUACUGAUUUGGAUGUCCUUUAAUUCUUUCUCUUAUCUGAUUGCUCUGGCUAGGACUUCCAGAACUACAUUGAAAUAAAAGUGAAAGUGGGGCUGGCAAAGUGGCUCACACCUGUAAUCCCAUCACUUUGGGAGGC